rnacentral:rRNA from 1 species
CCUACGUGUGUCAGCAGUGGGGGAUAUUGCACAAUGGGGGAAACCCUGAUGCAGCGACGCCGCGUGGGUGAAGAAGCGCCUCGGCGCGUACAGCCCUGUCAGCAGGGAAGAAAAUGACGGUACCUGAAGAAGAAGCCCCGGCUAACUACGUGCCAGCAGCCGCGGUAAUACGUAGGGGGCAAGCGUUAUCCGGAUUUACUGGGUGUAAAGGGGGCGCAGACGGCGAUGCAAGCCAGGAGUGAAAGCCCGGGGCCCAACCCCGGGACUGCGCUUGGAACUGCGUGGCGAGAGUGCAGGAGGGGCAGGCGGAAUUCCUGGUGUAGCGGUGAAAUGCGUAGAGAUCAGGAGGAACACCGGUGGCGAAGGCGGCCUGCUGGACUGCAACUGACGUUGAGGCCCGAAAGCGUGGGGAGCAAACAGGAUUAGAUACCCCGGGAGUC